rnacentral:tRNA from 1 species
GGGGCUGUAGCUCAGUGGUAAAGCACUUGCAUCACAUGUACGAGGCACUGGGUUCGAGCCUCAGCACCACA